ACGUAGGGUGCGAGCGUUAAUCGGAAUUACUGGGCGUAAAGCGUGCGCAGGCGGUGCUGUAAGACAGGCGUGAAAUCCCCGGGCUCAACCUGGGAAUUGCGUUUGUGACUGCAGCGCUGGAAUGCGGCAGAGGGGGGUGGAAUUCCGCGUGUAGCGGUGAAAUGCGUAGAUAUGCGGAGGAACACCGGUGGCGAAGGCAGCUCACUGGACUGGUAUUGACGCUGGUGUACGAAAGCGUGGGGAGCAAAUAG
rnacentral:rRNA from 1 species